UACGGGGGGGGCAAGCGUUGUUCGGAAUUACUGGGCGUAAAGGGCUCGUAGGCGGCCAACUAAGUCGGAUGUGAAAUCCCCAGGCUUAACCUGGGAAUUGCAUCCGAUACUGGAUGGCUUGAAUCCGGGAGAGGGAUGCGGAAUUCCAGGUGUAGCGGUGAAAUGCGUAGAUAUCUGGAGGAACACCGGUGGCGAAGGCGGCAUCCUGGACCGGCAUUGACGCUGAGGCGCGAAAGCCAGGGGAGCAAACGGG
rnacentral:rRNA from 1 species